rnacentral:rRNA from 1 species
GUAAGCAAGCGGUAGGGGAGCGUCGUAAUCGGGCUGAAGUCGUACCGUAAGGAGCGGUGGACUGAUUACGAGUGAGAAUGUUGGCAUUAGUAGCGAGAUGUAGGUGAGAAUCCUACAGGCCGAAUAUCUAAGGUUUCCUCAGGAAGGCUCGUCCGCUGAGGGUUAGUCGGGACCUAAGCCGAGGCCGAAAGGCGUAGGCGAUGGACAACAGGUUGAUAUUCCUGUACCACUACCAUCGUUAUUAUCGAGGGUGUGACGGAGAAGGAUAGUGUGUGCUAGCGAUUGGAAAUGCUAGUCUAAGCGUUUAGGCAGUUACGGUAGGCAAAUCCGCUGUAACGUUAAUGCUGAGGCGUGAUGGGGAAGGCCCUUGAGGCUGAAGUACAUGAUUCCAUGCUUCCAAGAAAAGCAUCUAGAGAGAGAAGUAGUGCCCGUACCGCAAACCGACACAGGUAGAUGAGGAGAGAAUCCUAAGGCCGGCGGAAGAAUUGCAGUUAAGGAACUAGGCAAAUUGACCCCGUAAGUUAGCGAGAAGGGGUGCCUGCGAGAGCAGGCCGCAGAGAAUAGGCCCAAGCAACUGUUUAGCAAAAACACAGGUCUCUGCUAAAGCGCAAGCUGAUGUAUAGGGGCUGACGCCUGCCCGGUGCUGGAAGGUUAAGGGGAACACUUAGCGCAAGCGAAGGUGUGAACUUAAGCCCCAGUAAACGGCGGCCGUAACUAUAACGGUCCUAAGGUAGCGAAAUUCCUUGUCAGGUAAGUUCUGACCCGCACGAAUGGCGUAAUGACUUGGGCACUGUCUCAACUGCAAAUCCGGCGAAGUUGUAGUGCGAGUGAAGAUGCUCGCUACCCGCGAUUGGACGGAAAGACCCCGUAGAGCUUUACUGUAGCUUAGCAUUGAAUUCUGGUAUUGUCUGUACAGGAUAGGUGGGAGACUGGGAAACUAGGGCGUCAGCCUUAGUGGAGUCGUCCUUGGGAUACCACCCUGACAGUACUGGGGUUCUAACAGGACGCCAUGAAUCUGGUGACUGGACAUUGUUAGGUGGGCAGUUUGACUGGGGCGGUCGCCUCCUAAAAAGUAACGGAGGCGUUCAAAGGUUCGCUCAGCUUGAACGGAAAUCAAGCAAAAGAG